CAACCUAGUCGUAACAGGUCACCAUGACCCGGUCAUAUAAGGUCACUCCCAACCGAGUCGUGUCGGGUCACCGUGACCCAGUCAUGCAAGGCCAUGCCAACCUAGUCGUGUCGGGUCACCAUGACCCAGUCAUGCAAGGUCACACCAACAGUGGCCAAGUGAAGUUAAGUCAAACGUACCUUGCCAAACCGGGUCACCAUGACCCAGUCAUUUUAAGUCACUGCAUC